UGGGGAAUAUUGGACAAUGGGCGAAAGCCUGAUCCAGCCAUGCCGCGUGUGUGAAGAAGGUCUUCGGAUUGUAAAGCACUUUAAGUUGGGAGGAAGGGCAGUAAGCGAAUACCUUGCUGUUUUGACGUUACCGACAGAAUAAGCACCGGCUAACUCUGUGCCAGCAGCCGCGGUAAUACAGAGGGUGCAAGCGUUAAUCGGAAUUACUGGGCGUGAAGCGCGCGUAGGUGGUUCGUUAAGUUGAAUGUGAAAGCCCCGGGCUCAACCUGGGAACUGCAUCAAAAACUGGCGAGCUAGAGUAGGGCAGAGGGUGGUGGAAUUUCCUGUGUAGCGGUGAAAUGCGUAGAUAUAGGAAGGAACACCAGUGGCGAAGGCGACCACCUGGGCUCAUACUGACACUGAGGUGCGAAAGCGUGGGGAGCAAACAGG
rnacentral:rRNA from 1 species